rnacentral:rRNA from 1 species
UUUUGUAGAAUGAACCGGCGAGUUACGAUUUGAUGCAAGGUUAAGCAGUAAAUGUGGAGCCGUAGCGAAAGCGAGUCUGAAUAGGGCGUUUAGUAUUUGGUCGUAGACCCGAAACCAGGUGAUCUACCCUUGGUCAGGUUGAAGUUCAGGUAACACUGAAUGGAGGACCGAACCGACUUACGUUGAAAAGUGAGCGGAUGAACUGAGGGUAGCGGAGAAAUUCCAAUCGAACCUGGAGAUAGCUGGUUCUCUCCGAAAUAGCUUUAGGGCUAGCCUCAAGUGAUGAUUAUUGGAGGUAGAGCACUGUUUGGACGAGGGGCCCCUCUCGGGUUACCGAAUUCAGACAAACUCCGAAUGCCAAUUAAUUUAACUUGGGAGUCAGAACAUGGGUGAUAAGGUCCGUGUUCGAAAGGGAAACAGCCCAGACCACCAGCUAAGGUCCCAAAAUAUAUGUUAAGUGGAAAAGGAUGUGGCGUUGCCCAGACAACUAGGAUGUUGGCUUAGAAGCAGCCAUCAUUUAAAGAGUGCGUAAUAGCUCACUAGUCGAGUGACACUGCGCCGAAAAUGUACCGGGGCUAAACAUAUUACCGAAGCUGUGGAUUGUCCUUUGGACAAUGGUAGGAGAGCGUUCUAAGGGCGUUGAAGCAUGAUCGUAAGGACAUGUGGAGCGCUUAGAAGUGAGAAUGCCGGUGUGAGUAGCGAAAGACGGGUGAGAAUCCCGUCCACCGAUUGACUAAGGUUUCCAGAGGAAGGCUCGUCCGCUCUGGGUUAGUCGGGUCCUAAGCUGAGGCCGACAGGCGUAGGCGAUGGAUAACAGGUUGAUAUUCCUGUACCACCUAUAAUCGUUUUAAUCGAUGGGGGGACGCAGUAGGAUAGGCGAAGCGUGCGAUUGGAUUGCACGUCUAAGCAGUAAGGCUGAGUAUUAGGCAAAUCCGGUACUCGUUAAGGCUGAGCUGUGAUGGGGAGAAGACAUUGUGUCUUCGAGUCGUUGAUUUCACACUGCCGAGAAAAGCCUCUAGAUAGAAAAUAGGUGCCCGUACCGCAAACCGACACAGGUAGUCAAGAUGAGAAUUCUAAGGUGAGCGAGCGAACUCUCGUUAAGGAACUCGGCAAAAUGACCCCGUAACUUCGGGAGAAGGGGUGCUCUUUAGGGUUAACGCCCAGAAGAGCCGCAGUGAAUAGGCCCAAGCGACUGUUUAUCAAAAACACAGGUCUCUGCUAAACCGUAAGGUGAUGUAUAGGGGCUGACGCCUGCCCGGUGCUGGAAGGUUAAGAGGAGUGGUUAGCUUCUGCGAAGCUACGAAUCGAAGCCCCAGUAAACGGCGGCCGUAACUAUAACGGUCCUAAGGUAGCGAAAUUCCUUGUCGGGUAAGUUCCGACCCGCACGAAAGGCGUAACGAUUUGGGCACUGUCUCAACGAGAGACUCGGUGAAAUCAUAGUACCUGUGAAGAUGCAGGUUACCCGCGACAGGACGGAAAGACCCCGUGGAGCUUUACUGUAGCCUGAUAUUGAAAUUCGGCACAGCUUGUACAGGAUAGGUAGGAGCCUUUGAAACGUGAGCGCUAGCUUACGUGGAGGCGCUGGUGGGAUACUACCCUAGCUGUGUUGGCUUUCUAACCCGCACCACUUAUCGUGGUGGGAGACAGUGUCAGGCGGGCAGUUUGACUGGGGCGGUCGCCUCCUAAAAGGUAACGGAGGCGCUCAAAGGUUCCCUCAGAAUGGUUGGAAAUCAUUCAUAGAGUGUAAAGGCAUAAGGGAGCUUGACUGCGAGACCUACAAGUCGAGCAGGGUCGAAAGACGGACUUAGUGAUCCGGUGGUUCCGCAUGGAAGGGCCAUCGCUCAACGGAUAAAAGCUACCCCGGGGAUAACAGGCUUAUCUCCCCCAAGAGUUCACAUCGACGGGGAGGUUUGGCACCUCGAUGUCGGCUCAUCGCAUCCUGGGGCUGUAGUCGGUCCCAAGGGUUGGGCUGUUCGCCCAUUAAAGCGGUACGCGAGCUGGGUUCAGAACGUCGUGAGACAGUUCGGUCCCUAUCCGUCGUGGGCGUAGGAAAUUUGAGAGGAGCUGUCCUUAGUACGAGAGGACCGGGAUGGACAUACCUCUGGUGUACCAGUUGUCGUGCCAACGGCAUAGCUGGGUAGCUAUGUGUGGACGGGAUAAGUGCUGAAAGCAUCUAAGCAUGAAGCCCCCCUCAAGAUGAGAUUUCCCAACUUCGGUUAUAAGAUCCCUCAAAGAUGAUGAGGUUAAUAGGUUCGAGGUGGAAGCAUGGUGACAUGUGGAGCUGACGA